GAUGAACGCUGGCGGCGUGCCUAAUACAUGCAAGUCGAGCGAACAGAUGAGGAGCUUGCUCCUCUGACGUUAGCGGCGGACGGGUGAGUAACACGUGGAUAACCUACCUAUAGGACUGGGAUAACUUCGGGAAACCGGAGCUAAUACCGGAUAAUAUAUUGAACCGCAUGGUUCAAUAGUGAAAGACGGUUUUGCUGUCACUUAUAGAUGGAUCCGCGCCGCAUUAGCUAGUUGGUAAGGUAACGGCUUACCAAGGCAACGAUGCGUAGCCGACCUGAGAGGGUGAUCGGCCACACUGGAACUGAGACACGGUCCAGACUCCUACGGGAGGCAGCAGUAGGGAAUCUUCCGCAAUGGGCGAAAGCCUGACGGAGCAACGCCGCGUGAGUGAUGAAGGUCUUCGGAUCGUAAAACUCUGUUAUUAGGGAAGAACAAAUGCGUAAGUAACUAUGCACGUCUUGACGGUACCUAAUCAGAAAGCCACGGCUAACUACGUG
rnacentral:rRNA from 1 species